UACGUAGGUGGCAAGCGUUGUUCGGAAUUAUUGGGCGUAAAGGGCGCGUAGGCGGCAUGUUAAGUCGGCUGUGAAAGCCUGGGGCUCAACCCCAGAGGGUCGGCCGAUACUGGCAAGCUAGAGUACGGAAGAGGUAGCUGGAAUUCCCGGUGUAGCGGUGAAAUGCGUAGAUAUCGGGAGGAGCACCAGUGGCGAAGGCGACUACCUGGCCUGUUCUUGACGCUGAGGCGCGAAAGCUAGGGGAGCAAACGGG
rnacentral:rRNA from 1 species